CCUACGGGAGGCAGCAGUGGGGAAUAUUGCACAAUGGGGGAAACCCUGAUGCAGCGACGCCGCGUGAGUGAUGAAGUAUUUCGGUAUGUAAAGCUCUUUCAGUAGGGAAGAAAAUGACGGUAUCUGAUUAAGAAGCCCCGGCUAACUACGUGCCAGCAGCCGCGGUAAUACGUAGGGGGCAAGCGUUAUCCGGAUUUACUGGGUGUAAAGGGAGCGUAGACGGCAGCGUAAGUCUGAUGUGAAAUGCCGGGGCUUAACCCCGGAACUGCAUUGGAAACUGUGCAGCUAGAGUGCAGGAGAGGUAGGUGGAAUUCCUGGUGGAGCGGUGAAAUGCGUAGAUAUUAAGAGGAACACCAGUGGCGAAGGCGGCUUACUGGACUGUAACUGACGUUGAGGCUCGAAAGCGUGGGGAGCAAACAGGAUUAGAUACCCUUGUAGUC
rnacentral:rRNA from 1 species